rnacentral:rRNA from 2 species
CCUGGCGGCAGGCCUAACACAUGCAAGUCGAGCGGGGUUUUCGGACCUAGCGGCGGACGGGUGAGUAAUGCGUAGGAAGCUGCCCGAUAGAGGGGGAUACCAGUUGGAAACGACUGUUAAUACCGCAUAAUGUCUACGGACCAAAGUGUGGGACCUUCGGGCCACAUGCUAUCGGAUGCGCCUACGUGGGAUUAGCUAGUUGGUGAGGUAAUGGCUCACCAAGGCGACGAUCUCUAGCUGGUUUGAGAGGAUGAUCAGCCACACUGGAACUGAGACACGGUCCAGACUCCUACGGGAGGCAGCAGUGGGGAAUAUUGGACAAUGGGCGCAAGCCUGAUCCAGCCAUGCCGCGUGUGUGAAGAAGGCCUUCGGGUUGUAAAGCACUUUCAGCGAGGAGGAAGGGUGGUGUGUUAAUAGCACAUCAUUUUGAC